rnacentral:rRNA from 1 species
GACGAACGCUGGCGGCGUGCUUAACACAUGCAAGUCGAACGGAAAGGCCCUGCUUUUGUGGGGUGCUCGAGUGGCGAACGGGUGAGUAACACGUGAGUAACCUGCCCUUGACUUUGGGAUAACUUCAGGAAACUGGGGCUAAUACCGGAUAGGAGCUCCUGCUGCAUGGUGGGGGUUGGAAAGUUUCGGCGGUUGGGGAUGGACUCGCGGCUUAUCAGCUUGUUGGUGGGGUAGUGGCUUACCAAGGCCUUGACGGGUAGCCGGCCUGAGAGGGUGACCGGCCACAUUGGGACUGAGAUACGGCCCAGACUCCUACGGGAGGCAGCAGUGGGGAAUAUUGCACAAUGGGCGGAAGCCUGAUGCAGCAACGCCGCGUGCGGGAUGACGGCCUUCGGGUUGUAAACCGCUUUCGCCUGUGACGAAGCGUGAGUGACGGUAAUGGGUAAAGAAGCACCGGCUAACUACGUGCCAGCAGCCGCGGUGAUACGUAGGGUGCGAGCGUUGUCCGGAUUUAUUGGGCGUAAAGGGCUCGUAGGUGGUUGAUCGCGUCGGAAGUGUAAUCUUGGGGCUUAACCCUGAGCGUGCUUUCGAUACGGGUUGACUUGAGGAAGGUAGGGGAGAAUGGAAUUCCUGGUGGAGCGGUGGAAUGCGCAGAUAUCAGGAGGAACACCAGUGGCGAAGGCGGUUCUCUGGGCCUUUCCUGACGCUGAGGAGCGAAAGCGUGGGGAGCGAACAGGCUUAGAUACCCUGGUAGUCCACGCUGUAAACGGUGGGUACUAGGUGUGGGGUCCGUUCCACGGGUUCCGUGCCGUAGCUAACGCUUUAAGUACCCCGCCUGGGGAGUACGGCCGCAAGGCUAAAACUCAAAGGAAUUGACGGGGCCCCGCACAAGCGGCGGAGCAUGCGGAUUAAUUCGAUGCAACGCGUAGAACCUUACCUGGGUUUGACAUGGAUCGGGAGUGCUCAGAGAUGGGUGUGCCUCUUUUGGGGUCGGUUCACAGGUGGUGCAUGGCUGUCGUCAGCUCGUGUCGUGAGAUGUUGGGUUAAGUCCCGCAACGAGCGCAACCCUUGUUCACUGUUGCCAGCACGUUAUGGUGGGGACUCAGUGGAGACCGCCGGGGUCAACUCGGAGGAAGGUGGGGAUGACGUCAAGUCAUCAUGCCCCUUAUGUCCAGGGCUUCACGCAUGCUACAAUGGCUGGUACAGAGAGUGGCGAGCCUGUGAGGGUGAGCGAAUCUCGGAAAGCCGGUCUCAGUUCGGAUUGGGGUCUGCAACUCGACCUCAUGAAGUCGGAGUCGCUAGUAAUCGCAGAUCAGCAACGCUGCGGUGAAUACGUUCCCGGGGCU